GUUGUGUCAUUGUGUCAUUGUGUGGCUGUGUCGUUGUCGUGUUGUUGUGUUGUGUCGUUGUGUCAUUGUGUGGUGCGGCUGUGUGGCUGUGUGGCUGUGUUGUUGUGUGGCUGUGUCGUUGUGUCAUUGUGUCGUUGUGUGGCUGUGUUGUUGUCGUGUUGUUGUGUCGUGUCAUUGUGUCGUUGUGUCGUUGUGUCAUUGUGUCGUUGUGUGGCUGUGUCGUUGUGUCGCUGUGUCGUUGUGUCGCUGUGUCGUUGUGUCGCUGUGUCGCUGUGUCGUUGUGUCGCUGUGUCGCUGUGUCGUUGUGUCGUUGUGUCGCUGUGUCGCUGUGUCGUUGUGUUGUUGUGUCGUUGUGUUGUGGUGCGGCUGUGUGGCUGUGUCGUUGUGUGGCUGUGUCAUUGUGUCGUUGUGUCGUUGUGUCGCUGUGUCGUUGUGUCGUUGUGUCAUUGUGUUGUGGUGCGGCUGUGUCACGCAGGCUGCUGUUCUGGUCGGACUGCGGUUCGGUUCCGCUGCUGGGCCGCGUUGGGCUGAACGGCGCCGAGCCCAAAGUGCUGCUGGAGCGCGGGCUGGGCUGCCCCUGCGCCAUCGCUCUGGGUGCGGCUGGGCGGACCCCCCCCGACCCCCCCGGCCCCCCCGGCCCCCAGCCCCUCCUGACCCCCGUGACCCCUCCCUGUCACCCCUGA
rnacentral:lncRNA from 1 species